rnacentral:rRNA from 1 species
GUGGGGAAUCUUGCGCAAUGGGCGAAAGCCUGACGCAGCCAUGCCGCGUGAAUGAUGAAGGUCUUAGGAUUGUAAAAUUCUUUCACCGGGGACGAUAAUGACGGUACCCGGAGAAGAAGCUCCGGCUAACUUCGUGCCAGCAGCCGCGGUAAUACGAAGGGGGCUAGCGUUGCUCGGAAUUACUGGGCGUAAAGGGCGCGUAGGCGGACAGCUUAGUCAGAGGUGAAAGCCCAGGGCUCAACCUUGGAAUUGCAUUUGAUACUGGCUGUCUUGAGUUUGGGAGAGGUGAGUGGAACUCCGAGUGUAGAGGUGAAAUUCGUAGAUAUUCGGAAGAACACCAGUGGCGAAGGCGACUCACUGGCCCAAUACUGACGCUGAGGCGCGAAAGCGUGGGGAGCAAACAGGAUUAGAUACCCUAGUAGUCC